AUCACUCACUCACCCCCAUAAAAAGAACAACUCAAAGAAAUACAACAGUUGUUUAAUGCCUUUUUUUAUUUGUAUUAAACCACCUUAAUUAGUUUAAAUAUUGUUUUCUCUAUUGCUUAUAAAAUCAAUUUGUGUUGUUUUUGUGAUACAUGAUUUACGUUUAACAGAGUGUAUGAAAAUAUGAGACAAUUAAAGCACUUAAAUAAUUAAUUAAAAAUUAAUUAAAUUAAUCCACAUUGUUUUUUUUGUAAUUACAUUUAGGAUGCACUUAGGUGGGAGCUCUGGGCCGUUACCGAUAUCCGAUAUUACACAUGUAUAAUUCUGCCGAUGCUCAUAUACACAUUUAUAACUAACAGAGAGAUUAUACACCACGGUAUAACUUUAGAAACAAAUGUAGCAUGUAUUUGCAUUAUAUUGUAGUCAUUGUCUGCCAAUUGUAGUAGCUCAGCCAGUGCUGCUUGGUCCUUCUCCAGUAUAGUAUUUUCCAGCAAGAAUCGGUUUGAAACAUUGACCAAAUCUUACCGUCAGGCUAAUGCCAAUGUUUCUCUAAAAAUGCAAUUACUGUAUGAUACUGUACGAUAAUUUAGAAAUUUGAAUGCAUGCCUAAUUACACUUGUCCUCAGCCUGUAGUUUAAACUUUAACUCGGACAAAUAAUGGUAUUAUUUUACCAUAACAGAUAUCAUAUGCUGUCAUGUGCAUCAGUUACCAUUAACAGAAAUUGUAAAGGCAAAAGAAGCCAUGAAUUUUAAUUGACAUAAUCUGUCACGAAAGUCAUUAUUCAUGAUAACAUGACCCUUUUUUUAUAGUUGUAGGCAUAUAAUAUGUAAUGACAGUCAUCACUCAUAAUAACAUGACAUCUUGUCAUAUUAAAGUACAUAAUCUAGAAAAGUGUCUCACAGUACUGUUCAUAGUCAUUAAUGAUUUACUAAAUUUACUAAAGUAAAUAGAAAUGUAUCCACUAGAGGGAGCAAUUUUGUGAUGGUAAUGUUGCCAAAGUUUAUUUCUAGAUAUGAACAAGAAGUUAUUUGUAGGCCUCUGACAGCUUAUAUUAAACUGAUUUAAAUGUUUCACAAUCAUCCAUAGUAUUAAUGAAUACACGUUUUACAGUAAAUGUUUUAAAAGCUCUUAUUUACACAGGAGUUACAGAGAACAAAGGUGAUCCCAAAUAACUGUGUGAUGCAGCAUACAGGACCAUUAAGGCUGACCGAUAAUAAACACAGGAGAUGCAGAGGACGAAGAUUAUUCCAAAAGCUGUGUGACGCAGCACACAGGACCAAUCAGAGGGCUGUCCGAUAAAAAACAGAGGCCACAUUUACCACUAAACGAUUGUGAGAAGAACACAGGAGAUACAGAGGACAAAGAUAAUCCCAAACAUUGUGUGACGCAGCAUACAGGACCACUCAGAGGGUCGACCGAUGAAACCGAUGGUCCUGGCUCCGCUAGCUGAGUGGGCUUCUGAUGAUGUACUGUCCAUAACAGUGGAGGGGAAGGAUCCCUCAAUCUAUGCAGUCCGGGAGGUGCUGGACUCCUGUAGGCGAAGUGAUGUGCUUCAAUAUCUCAUUGACUGGGAGGGGUAUGGUCCCGAGAAACGCUGCUGGGUGCUUGCCAAGGAUGUGCUGGAUCUGGCCCAGGUAGCUGACCUUCAUGCGCGCCAUCCUGAACACAGGAGAUGCAGAGGACGAAGAUUAUCCCAAACAUUGUGUGACGCAGCAUACAGGACCACUCAGAGGGCUGACCGAUGAAAAACACAGGAGAUGCAGAGGACAAAAAUGAUCCCGAACAUUGUGUGGCGCAGCACACAGGACCACUCAGAUGGCUGACCAAUGAAAAACACAGGAGAUGCAGAGGACGAAGAUUAUUCCAAAAGCUGUGUGACGCAGCAUACAGGACCACUCAGAGGGCUGACCAAUGAAAAACACAGGAGAUGCAGAGGACGAAGAUUAUUCCAAAAGCUGUGUGACGCAGCAUACAGGACCACUCAGAGGGCUGACCGAUGAAAAACACAGGAGAUGCAGAGGACGAAGGUGAUCCCAAACGCUGUGUGACGCAGCAUACAGGACCACUCAGAGGGCUGACCGAUGAAAAUCACAUCGAGUCUUGUUCCCGUUUGACUUGUACUCGACAGGGCAUUGAAGACAGGAGACGGCAUCUGAAAUAUUAAAAAGGGC